rnacentral:rRNA from 1 species
AACGAACGCUGGCGGCGCGCCUAAUACAUGCAAGUCGAGCGAGAAGACGUAGCAAUACGUUUGUAAAGCGGCGAACGGGUGAGGAAUACAUGGGUAACCUACCCUCGAGUGGGGAAUAACUAGCCGAAAGGUUAGCUAAUACCGCGUACGCUCCUUGGACUUCGGUUCAGGGAGGAAAGCGAUACCGUGGGUAUCGCGCUCUUGGAUGGGCUCAUGUCCUAUCAGCUUGUUGGUGAGGUAACGGCUCACCAAGGCUUCGACGGGUAGCUGGUCUGAGAGGACGAUCAGCCACACUGGCACUGCGACACGGGCCGGACUCCUACGGGAGGCAGCAGUAAGGAAUAUUGCGCAAUGGGCGAAAGCCUGACGCAGCGACGCCGCGUGGGGGA